CCAACGGCCCUCUUUAGGGCCACAAAUUCCACAACUACUGAAAUCG
rfam:Caenorhabditis japonica strain DF5081 Contig18198.28, whole genome shotgun sequence.